UACAGAGGUGCCGAGCGUUAUUCGGAAUUAUUGGGCGUAAAGGGCGCGUAGGCGGCUGUACAAGUCAGAGGUGAAAUCCCUCGGCUCAACUGAGGAACUGCCUUUGAAACUGUACGGCUUGAGGCCGGGAGGGGGUAGCGGAAUUCCCAGUGUAGCGGUGAAAUGCGUAGAUACUGGGAGGAACACCAGUGGCGAAGGCGGCUACCUGGACCGGUUCUGACGCUGAGGCGCGAAAGCGUGGGUAGCAAACAGG
rnacentral:rRNA from 1 species